rnacentral:rRNA from 1 species
GACGAACGCUGGCGGCGUGCCUAAUACAUGCAAGUAGAAAGCAGUUGCGAACGGGUGAGUAACGCGUAGGUAACUGCCUGGUAGCGGGGGAUAACUCUUGGCAACGAUAGCUAAUACCGCAUACUACCAGUUGGACCUGCGUUGUAUUAGCUAGGUGGUGAGGUAAAGGGGCACCAAGGCAACGAUACAUAGCCGAGCUGUGAGGGUGGACGGCCACACAGGGACUGGGACAAGGGCCAUACGCCCAAGGGAGGCAGCAGGAGGGAAUCUUCGGGCAAGGGGGGAAACCUGACCGAGCAACGCCGCGUGGGUUGAGAAGGGUUUCAGAGCGGAAAGGUCUGUUGUGAAGGAAGCGGUACUUACACAGGAAGGGACGGCUAACUACGUGCCAGCAGCCGCGGUAAUUC